rnacentral:lncRNA from 1 species
AUGAUCACUCACCUAGAGCCAGACAUCCUGGAAUGUGAGGUCAAGUGGACCUUAGAAAGCAUCACUAAAAACAAACCUAAUGGAGGUGAUAGAAUUCCAGUGGAGCCAUUUCAAAUCCUGGAAGAUGAUGCUGUGAAAGUGCUGCACUCAAUAUGCCAGCAAAUGUGGAAAACUCAGCAGUGGCCACAGAACUGGAAAAGGUCAGUUUUCAUUCCAAUCCCAAAGAAAGGAUAUGCCAACGAAUGCUCAAACUACUGCACAAUUGUACUCAUCUCACAUGAUAGUAAAGUUAUGCUCAAAAUUCUCCAAGCCAGGCUUCAGCAAUACAUGAACUGUGAACUUCCAGAUGUUCAAGCUGGUUUGAGAAAAGGCAGAGGAACCAGAGAUCAAAUUGCCAACAUCUGCUGGAUCAUGGAAAAAGCAAGAGAGUUCCAGAAAAACAGCUAUUUCUGCUUUAUUGACUAUGCAAAAGUCUUUAACUGUGUGGAUCACAACAAACUGUGGGAAAUUCUUCAAGAGAUGGGAAUACCAGACCACCUGACCUGCCUCUUGAGAAACCUAUAUGCAGGUCAGGAAGCAACAGUUAGAACUGGACAUGGAACAACAGACUGGUUCCAAAUAGGAAAAGGAAUACAUCAAGGCUGUAUAUUGUCACCCUGCUUAUUUAACUUAUAUGCAGAGUACAUCAUGAGAAACGCUGGGCUGGAUGAAGCACAAGCUGGAAUCAAGAUUGCCGGGAGAAAUAUCAGUAACCUCAGAUAUGCACAUGAUACCACCCUGAUGGCAGAAAGUGAAGAGGAACUAAAAAGCCUCUUGAUGAAAGUGAAAGAAGAGAGUGAAAAAGUUGGCUUAAAGCUCAACAUUCAGAAAACGAAGAUCAUGGCAUCUGGUCCCAUCACUUCAUGGGAAAUAGAUGGGGAAACAGUGGAAACCAUGUCAGACUUUAUUUUGGGGGGCUCCAAAAUCAUGGCAGAUAGUGACUGCAGCCAUGAAAUUAAAAGAUGCUUACUCCUUGGAAGGAAAGUUAAGACCAACCUAGAUAGCAUAUUAAAAAGCAGAGAUAUUACUUUGCCAACAAAGGUCUGUCUAGUCAAGGCUAUGGUUUUUCCAGUGGUCAUGUAUGGAUGUGAGAGUUGGACUGUGAAGAAAGCUGAGCACCAAAGAAUUGAUGGUUUUGAACUGUGGUGUUGGAGAAGACUCUUGAGAGUCCCUUGGACUGCAAGGAGAUCCAACCAGCUCAUUCUAAAGGAGAUCACAAGCAUGUAUACACCCAUGGCAGAUUCAUGUUGA